UCUCCGUUGGUGAACCAGCGGAGGGAUCAUUACAGGAUUCGCAAGAACUCCCGUAACCACUGUGAACCUUACCUUCUGUUGCCUCGGCAGAAGUUAUAGGUCUUCUUAUAGCUGCUGCCGGUGGACCAUUAAACUCUUGUUAUUUUAUGUAAUCUGAGCGUCUUAUUUUAAUAAGUCAAAACUUUCAACAACGGAUCUCUUGGUUCUGGCAUCGAUGAAGAACGCAGC
rnacentral:misc_RNA from 1 species